rnacentral:lncRNA from 1 species
GCUUAAGACCCUCACCCUAGCUGCCUUGAAGCCAUCUUCCACUAGCAGCCUUCAGAUGAAGAUGUUGCCAUGCUCUUGCUAAUUGAUUGAACCUCUGAACCUGUAAGCCAGCCCUAAUUAAAUGUUAUCCUUAUAAGACUUGCCUUGGUCAUGGUGUCUGUUCAUAGCAGUAAAACCCUAACUAAGACAGUGGGUAUAAGGACAAAUAUUUAGAGUGUGGUUAGGGACUAUGCAAGUUUAGUAAAGUGGCAAUUGUGGUUCUCUGCCAAGGUCCAUAACUUUUCUAGCUCUACGUAGUUGGCUAGGUUUUCAAUUCCAGGAAUGUCUCCCUCUUGUUGAGUUACUGUUGGUUAAGGUCAUGCCACUACUACUGAACCCUCAGGUCAUCCUGUCAUCAUACCAUGCUGGUCAUUGCUGUGAUUCAUAGGUGUCAGAGCUGGUAGAACUGUUAGCUUCCCUCCUUUGGAAGUUUGCAUGGUAUCUUGUGGUAGCAUGAAGCUAGUUAGUCUUCAUGGAGGAUGCGUUCAUUCAGGUCAGAUGUAGCCCAGGAGUCUCUGAGCCAUGCAAAAUGCAUGGUGUCUUUAGCAAUAGGGGACACGCACACACGCACACGCGCACACACACACACACACACACAUAUAUAUAUAUAUAUAUAUACACACACACACAUACAUACAUAUAUAUGUGUGUGUGUGUGUGUGUGUGUAAUAAUAAUCUUUAAAAAGCCCAAGUGCUCAAACUCAGAGAUUAAUCAGAUUUGCAAUUCAUAGGAACAUCAAAAAGCAAUCAGCCACUAGGUAUAUUAUUACCGCUGCUAAGCAGAAAUAGUUAUAGAUGUUUAAAUACUCUUCUCUAAGAAAAUUUUUGUUCAUUGCUAAAGAGAAACAAACUUAGAAUUCGUGCAGAAAAAAAUAUAUUAUAAACAUAACCCAAUCACAAAGUAUAUCAUCUCUAGGCCAACUAAAAAUCUUCCUAGUUAAAAACUAUUACCUCCAGUUCUCAUCAUUAAAACUCUACCUCACUAGAAGUUUAUAAAUUAUGUGCUUAGCUGCUGAAAAUGGGAAGAUAACAGUGUAAGCUAAGUUACAGUGAUUUCCAAGACAGGUAAAAAAAAAGUCAGUAACAUUGUUGUAAACUCAUUUCACUCUUUCUCUGCUAAAACAUCAUGUAAAUUAAUUCUAAAAGUAAGUGUUCUUACUUCGAUAAAAAUAUCAACAAUUCUGAAGUUGCCAAAAAAACAAAAGACAGUAUAUUUAAUAUUGAUCUGCCCUUUUUCACGUCUUUUUGUUUAAAAUAAAAAGCAUAUUUUCAUGAGAUGUAUAGAAAAUUUUUUCUAAUAUGAGAAAAUUCAGUAUCUAAACACUUCUUACAUCAUUUAUGAUGUUAUCUAUAGAAGGAUAACUAGUCCUGUGUUGCCCUGCAGUAAACAGCAGAUACUGUCUCUGAAGAGCAGCCUGACUGAUAAGUGGUUUUUCUUCAAGGCUUCUCGGAAAGUCAGUCAUGAGGGCUUGACUUCGAAGUUAUUCUCGUGUGAGAGAAGACCUCAGUAACUCUUGGCAGGAAAAAGAAUGAUCAGUAUUUCAUCUUGUGGCUCUUUGCAUUGGGCUAGUUGAGUGAUCUUCUAAUGGGUCACCUGCUUCUCCUAGAAUGAGCUGAGAGAGCACAAGAAGACUGUAGUUCCUUUUACCCGAGCUUGUAGAUCACACAAUCGCAGUUACCAUGUCUUUAGAGACAAGUCACAAGAGGGGUUGCUAAUAUCAAGAACAAUUACUUGUUUGAGCAUCUGAGUUUGACUCAAUUUAUUCCCAACUCCUAGCCUUCUUUCUGUUAUCAUAUUUCCAUCAAUGAAAAGAGCUCAUUUAUUCAGCUCCUUUCAUUGUUAUUUAGAAUUUAAAUAUUAUGCGUAGUAUUUUUAUUAUUCAGGGUUUUCUAUAGGGACAGAACUUAAAGAAUGAAUAUGAACACAUACACACACACAUAUACACACAUAUAUGGAGAGAGAGAUUGAUUGAUUGAUUAAUGGCUUAUAGACAAUGGUCCAGUUAGUCCAAUAAUAGCUGUCUACCAACAGAAGGCCCAAGAAUCCCGUAGCUGUUCAGUCCACAAGGCUCAGUGCCUCAGCUAGUCAUUAGUGUAUACCAGAAUCUCAAAGAAGUAGACUCUAAUGCCAGUGAAGGACUUGUCAGCAAGAGCAAGAGGUUGCCAUCAGAAGGUGUGGCCCAGAUUACAGGUGGAUCUUCCCACCUCAAAAAAGAUAUAGAUUAAAAAUUGGUUCUCCCACUUCCAAUGAUU